GUGGGGAAUAUUGGACAAUGGGCGAAAGCCUGAUCCAGCCAUGCCGCGUGUGUGAAGAAGGUCUUCGGAUUGUAAAGCACUUUAAGUUGGGAGGAAGGGCAGUAAGUUAAUACCUUGCUGUUUUGACGUUACAGACAGAAUAAGCACCGGCUAACUUCGUGACAGCAGCCGCGGUAAUAAGAAGGGUGCAAGCGUUAAUCGGAAUUACUGGGCGUAAAGCGAGCGUAGGUGGUUUUGUAAGUUGGAGGUGAAAUCCCCGGGCUCAACCUGGGAACUGCCUCCAAAACUGCAUGACUAGAGUACGGUAGAGGGUAGUGGAAUUUCCUGUGUAGCGGUGAAAUGCGUAGAUAUAGGAAGGAACACCAGUGGCGAAGGCGACUACCUGGACUGAUACUGACACUGAGGUGCGAAAGCGUGGGGAGCAAACAGGAUUAGAAACCCGUGUAGUCC
rnacentral:rRNA from 1 species